rnacentral:rRNA from 1 species
GACGAACGCUGGCGGCGUGCUUAACACAUGCAAGUCGAACGGAAAGGCCCUGCUUUUGUGGGGUGCUCGAGUGGCGAACGGGUGAGUAACACGUGAGUAACCUGCCCUUGACUUUGGGAUAACUUCAGGAAACUGGGGCUAAUACCGGAUAGGAGCUCCUGCUGCAUAGUGGGGGUUGGAAAGUUUCGGCGGUUGGGGAUGGACUCGCGGCUUAUCAGCUUGUUGGUGGGGUAGUGGCUUACCAAGGCUUUGACGGGUAGCCGGCCUGAGAGGGUGAUCGGCCACAUUGGGACUGAGAUACGGCCCAGACUCCUACGGGAGGCAGCAGUGGGGAAUAUUGCACAAUGGGCGGAAGCCUGAUGCAGCAACGCCGCGUGCGGGAUGACGGCCUUCGGGUUGUAAACCGCUUUCGCCUGUGACGAAGCGUGAGUGACGGUAAUGGGUAAAGAAGCACCGGCUAACUACGUG